GCCCCAGUAGCUCAAAGGAUAGAGCAGCCGCCUCCUAAGCGGCGGGUUGAGGGUUCGAGUCCCUCCUGGGGCU
rnacentral:tRNA from 1 species